GAAUGUAAUUGACUUUUUAAUUUACAUGUAUUAUUUUGAUGACAUUUGGUGUUGAAUGAUAUAAAAUAAACCAGGACCCUAAACUGGAUGAAAAUGAAUAUCGAACAAGCCCACAUGAAUUUACCGAUUUAUUUGAGAACCAAUUUCCAUCUAGUUUACAACACAAACUGUUAUUACUGUCAUUUUGAUACAAUAAGCUAUAAAAAUGGUUUGAAUAGGUUCCAAGAUAUAUAAAGUGAUGUGCAUGAUAAUUAAUGUAGCCUACAUAUUAAAAAUAGGUAAUUAUUGAAUUUUUAAUUUCUAUACAUUCAAUUCAUAUUUUUUUUAAUUCAAUACUUCCAACACAAAAAAAAAUCAGGAUUUCAA